UAUUGGACAAUGGGCGAAAGCCUGAUCCAGCCAUGCCGCGUGAGUGAAGAAGGCCUUCGGGUUGUAAAGCUCUUUCGACGGGGAAGAUGAUGACGGUACCCGUAUAAGAAGCCCCGGCUAACUUCGUGCCAGCAGCCGCGGUAAUACGAAGGGGGCUAGCGUUGUUCGGAAUUACUGGGCGUAAAGCGAACGUAGGCGGUGUUCCAUGUCAGAGGUGAAAGCCUGGGGCUCAACUCCAGAAUUGCCUUUGAAACGGGGACGCUUGAGUCCGAGAGAGGGUGGCGGAAUUCCUAGUGUAGAGGUGAAAUUCGUAGAUAUUAGGAAGAACACCAGUGGCGAAGGCGGCCACCUGCACGGUACUGACGUCAGGUCGAAA
rnacentral:rRNA from 1 species